ACUCAAAUGAAUAGACGGGGGCUCACACAAGCGGUGGAGGAUGUGGCUUAAUUCGAGGCUACGCGAAGAACCUUAUCCUAGUCUUGACAUGCACGGAUCAACCCGGUGAAAGCCGGGCCACGCCUUCGGGUGGAACGUGCACAGGUGCUGCAUGGCUGUCGUCAGCUCGUGUCGUGAGAUGUCGGGUUAAGUCCCUUAACGAGCGAAACCCUUGUCGCUAGUUGCCAGCGAGUUAUGUCGGGGACUCUAGCGAGACCGCCGGCGUUAAGCCGGAGGAAGGUGGGGAUGACGUCAAGUCCUCAUGGCCUUUAUGACUAGGGCUGCACACGUCCUACAAUGCUGCGCACAAUGGGAAGCAAACCCGCGAGGGCAAGCAAAUCCCUAAAAACGCAGCUCAGUUCGGAUUGCAGGCUGCAACUCGCCUGCAUGAAGCUGGAAUCGCUAGUAAUGGUGGGUCAGCACACCACCGUGAAUAUGUUCUUGAGCCUUGUACACACCGCCCGU
rnacentral:rRNA from 1 species